rnacentral:lncRNA from 1 species
UUUGUCUUCAUCAAGCUCGUCAAAAACCCAUGGCAAGAACAGAAUUGAGCCUUUGCACUACAACUCAAUCCUUUGAAAUGUUUAUGUGAAGAAAGCACCUGAAUCUUUGAAAAGUUGUUAUGGGUCGAUGUUGGGUAACACGUAACAUGGAUGAAGAAGUCAGAUUCAAGCAAAUUUCAUCUGGUUCAUCGUGAGAUUUUAUUUUUUUUGUUGCAGAUGAGAUAAAGAUGAAGAAAUAGAGACACCAUAAUUUUUUAGAAAACCAAAGAACCCAAUUUUUUAAAUAGACAAAGAACACAUUUUUCAUUCAUAAGAGAGUAAUAUGUGUUUGGCAUGCUGAGAUGUGGUAGUUUCUUUUUGGUAAAAGGUUGUUUUGGCAAUUCUCAAAGGUCAGAUAUGUACUUGAAGAAGAACAUGAUGGGUGAUGUUUGGCAUGCUGAGAUGUGGUAGUUUCUUUUUGGUUAAAGGUUGUUUUGACAAUUCUCAAAGGUCAGAUAUGUACUUGAAGAAGAACAUGAUGGGUGAUGUUUAUUUUUUUGUUGAAUUUUAAAUAAAAAAAUAGUGAGCCUAAACCAGCAUAACAGGUUAACAAGUAUUUGGUUUUAAAAAUUUAAUGACGUGGACCAAUGGUUAAGGGAGUGUUUGAGAGAGAGUGUGAGAGAGAGUGCACAUAGCAUCCCUCUAAAAUUUAAUAUAAAAUAUCGUUCAUACUUCACAUGCGUUAGCGCAAUAAAAAGGUGAAUGUCCAUCAUUUUGUUGGUAAUAUAAAUAUAUAUAUGGGGUUGCUAAGUUACUAGUAAGCCUACUCCCACUUGUAUUUUACUGAAAACCCAAUUUUAUCCAUUUAAGUUAUG